rnacentral:rRNA from 1 species
UACGGAGGGAGCUAGCGUUGUUCGGAUAUACUGGGCGUAAAGCGCACGUAGGCGGCGCCGUAAGUCAGGGGUGAAAUCCCGGAGCUCAACUCCGGAACUGCCUCUGAAACUGCAGUGCUAGAAUCUUGGAGAGGCGAGUGGAAUUCCGAGUGUAGAGGUGUAAUUCGUAGAUAUUCGGAAGAACACCAGUGGCGAAGGCGACUUACUGGACACAUAUUGACGCUGAGGUGCGAAAGCGUGGGGAGCAAACAGG